CUCACCAAGGCUGCGAUGGCUAGCUGAUCUGAGAGGAUGAUCAGCCACACUGGCACUGAGACACGGGCCAGACUCCUACGGGAGGCAGCAGUGGGGAAUAUUGCGCAAUGGGCGAAAGUGACGCAGCGACGCCGCGUGAGUGAUGAAGGCCUUCGGGUUGUAAAGCUCUGUCAGAGGGGAAGAAUAAUUUGCAGGAACAAUACCCUGCGAACUUGACGGUACCCUCAAAGGAAGCACCGGCUAACUCCGUGCCAGCAGCCGCGGAAAUACGGAGGGUGCAAGCGUUGUUCGGAAUUACUGGGCGUAAAGCGCAUGUAGGCGGGCUAAGUAGUCGGGUGUGAAAGCCCUGGCUCAACCCAGGAAGUGCGCCCGAAACCAUUAGUCUGGAGGUCCGGAGGGAACGGGGAAUUCCCAGUGUAGAGGUGAAAUUCGUAGAUAUUGGGAGGAACACCGGCGACGAAAGUGCCGUUCUGGACGGAUUCUGACGCUAAGAUGCG
rnacentral:rRNA from 1 species